UACAGAGGUCUCAAGCGUUGUUCGGAUUCAUUGGGCGUAAAGGGUGCGUAGGCGGCGCGGUAAGUCGGAUGUGAAAUCUCGGAGCUUAACUUCGAAACUGCAUUCGAUACUGCCGUGCUUGAGGACUGGAGAGGAGACUGGAAUUUACGGUGUAGCGGUGAAAUGCGUAGAUAUCGUAAGGAAGACCAGUGGCGAAGGCGGGUCUCUGGACAGUUCCUGACGCUGAGGCACGAAGGUCAGGGGGAGCAAACAGG
rnacentral:rRNA from 1 species